UCCCCUCCGAUCCUCCCGGGAUCCCGGAUCACCAAAUCAACCCUCAGGAAGGAGGAGAGGCUCGUCAGGGUCGAGGAAAGUUAAGUGCCGCCCGCCCGUGGCCUUUCUUUACCUCAAACGUACUGUGAACUCUGUCAGUGCUCGGCUGUCGUCCGGAGCCCGCGUCGUGAUCCACUGCACCAUCGCUUGCAACGACAGCGACGAAGGCUCUGAACGCUCAGGGUCAGGGGAGUCACGAUGGCUGCAGGGAGAUCAUGCUGCUGCUUUGGAAAAUUAGUGAGAGUUUACAUUGCUUGAAACGUGUAUUCAGCUAGAUGAUCCUUUUCACUUUCUUAAUUUCUUUCCUUAGAAAUUUUAUUUAGGUCCCCUUAUCAUUGUAUCAGCUAUGCGUUUCGCCAAAAAAAAAAGAUGUGUCGUUUAUAUACUGUCUC